ACGUCACGAUAAUGAGGCGUUCAUCCUGACUGAAUCAGGUCCUGAACGGGGAGCAUGUCAUCGCUGUGCUGAGCACGUAGCGAACUCCUGCAAAAACUCAACACAAUUCUCGCCCUGCUACACAUUAUCUGACG
rfam:Xenorhabdus szentirmaii DSM 16338, WGS project CBXF01000000 data, contig: XENSZ_2115_Contig_48